GACGAACGCUGGCGGCGUGCCUAAUACAUGCAAGUCGAGCGAAGCGGGGAUGGGGGAGUAACACGUCGUUAACCUCCUAUACGUCCGGGAUAACUUCGGGAAACCGGUGCUAAACCGGAUACUUAUCGAUGGAUCCGCGCUGCAUUAGCUAUUUGGUAAGGUAAUGGCUUCCUAAGGCCACGAUGCAUAGCCGACCUGAGAGGGUGAUCGGCCACACGGGAACUGAGACACGGUCCAGACUCCUACGGGAGGCAGCAGUAGGGAAUCUUCCGCAAUGGGCGAAAGCCUGACGGAGCAACGCCGCGUGAGUGAUGAAGGUUUUCGGAUCGUAAAACUAUGUUAUUAGGGAAGCGGUACCUAAUCAGAAAGCCACGGCUAACUACGUGCCAGCAGCCGCGGUAAUAC
rnacentral:rRNA from 1 species